CGACGGUUGGUGCUAUGCCAACCGUGGCGUUAACGGAUAACAGAGAAUCUGGGUUCGAUUCUGGAGAGGCCGCAUGAGAAACGGCGACCACUUCCAAGGAAGGCAGCAGGCACGCAAAUUACCCACUUCGGACACCGAGAGGUAGUGACGAACAAUACCGAUGCGGCGCACUAACGUGUCGCCGUAAUCGGAAUGAGUACACUUCAAAUCCUUUAACGAGGAUCCACUGGAGGGCAAGCCUGGUGCCAGCAGCCGCGGUAAUUCCAGCUCCAGCAGCGUAUAUUUAUAUUGCUGCGUUUAAAAAGCUCGUAGUUGAAGCGUCAGACCCGGGAGGGCGGACGGCCGCACUGGUCGCUCUCGCCCGACCGAGCCAGGCGCAGAGGGCGCGCGUCGCUUGCACUUCGCCGUGUGAGCGCGCCGCCGCUGCACGUUCACCUUGAAGAAAUUGAACCGCUUAGAGGGGGCGAGCAGCUUGAACAGCUCAGCAUGGUAUGAUGGAACAUGGGCUCGUACUCAUUUUGUUGGUUAGAGAGUUCGCGAGCCAAUGAUUAACAGGGACUGCCGGGGGCAUUCGUACUCGGACGGGAGAGGUGAAAUUCAAGGAUCGUCCGAAGACGCCCUACUGCGAAAGCAUUUGCCAAGAAUGUUUUCAUUAAUCAAGAACGAAAGUCAGAGGUGCGAAGGCGAUCAGAUACCGCCGUAGUUCUGACCGUAAACGAUGCCGACUGGCAAUUGGGCGCACUUCUAUAGAAGUUGCUGCCAGCAGUAUUGCCCGGGAAACCAAAGUCAUUGGGUUCCGGGGGGAGUAUGGUUGCAAAGCUGAAACUUAAAGGAAUUGACGGAAGGGCACCACCAGGAGUGGAGCCUGCGGCUUAAUUUGACUCAACACGGGAAACCUCACCCGGCCCGAACACUGUUAUGACAGACAGGUUGAGAGCUCUUUCUCGAUUCAGUGGUUGGUGGUGCAUGGCCGUUCUUAGUUCGUGGAGCGAUCUGUCUGGUUAAUUCCGAUAACGAACGAGACUCUUGCCUGCUAAAUAGACGGCGCCGCCCUGGUCGGCGACCGUUCGCUUCUUAGAGGGACAAGCGGCUUUCAGCCGCGUGAAGCCGAGAGCAAUAACAGGUCAGUGAUGCCCUCAGAUGUUCGGGGCCGCACGCGCGCUACACUGUUUGCAUCAGCGUGUUUCUCCCGCGCCGGCUGGCGUGGGCAACCCGUUGAACCGCAAACGUGCUAGGGAUCGGAGAUUGCAAUUAUUCUCCGUGAACGAGGAAUUCCUUGUACUGGCGAGUCAUCAGCUCGCGGGGAAUCUGUCCCUGCCCUUUGUACACACCGCCCGUCGCUACUACCGAUUGAGUGGUUUAGUGAGGCUCACGGACUGCGCGCGGCACACGGCGC
rnacentral:rRNA from 1 species